GACGAACGCUGGCGGCGUGCUUAACACAUGCAAGUCGAACGGAAAGGCUCCAGCUUGCUGGAGUACUCGAGUGGCGAACGGGUGAGUAACACGUGGGUAAUCUGCCCUGCACUCUGGGAUAAGCCUGGGAAACUGGGUCUAAUACUGGAUAUGACCUUUCUCCUUAUGGGGUUUGGUGGAAAGUUUUUCGGUGUAGGAUGAGCCCGCGGCCUAUCAGCUUGUUGGUGGGGUGAUGGCCUACCAAGGCGACGACGGGUAGCCGGCCUGAGAGGGUGAUCGGCCACAUUGGGACUGAGAUACGGCCCAGACUCCUACGGGAGGCAGCAGUGGGAAAUAUUGCACAAUGGGCGGAAGCCUGAUGCAGCGACGCCGCGUGAGGGAUGACGGCCUUCGGGUUGUAAACCUCUUUCAGCAGGGACGAAGCGUAAGUGACGGUACCUGCAGAAGAAGCACCGGCUAACUAUGU
rnacentral:rRNA from 1 species